rnacentral:pre_miRNA from 1 species
GAAUUAUUCCCUCCGUUCGUAUUACUUGUCGUAGAAAUGGAUGUAUCUAGAUGUAUUUUAGUUCUAGAUACAUCCAUUUCCGAGAUAAAUAAUUCCGAACGGAGGAAGUAAUUA